rnacentral:rRNA from 1 species
CAGUCGCCGCGGUAAUACGAAGGGGGCUAGCGUUGCUCGGAAUUACUGGGCAUAAAGGGAGCGUAGGCGGAUGUUUAAGUCAGAGGUGAAAGCCCAGGGCUCAACCUUGGAACUGCCUUUGAUACUGGACAUCUUGAGUGUGGGAGAGGUAAGCGGAACUCCGAGUGUAGAGGUGAAAUUCGUAGAUAUUCGGAAGAACACCAGUGGCGAAGGCGGCUUACUGGCCCAUUACUGACGCUGAGGCUCGAAAGCGUGGGGAGCAAACAGGAUUAGAUACCCCGGUAGUCCCUGUCUCUUAUAC